rnacentral:rRNA from 1 species
GACGAACGCUGGCGGCGUGCUUAACACAUGCCAGUCGAACGGAAAGGCCCUGCUUUUGUGUGGUGCUCGAGUGGCGAACGGGUGAGUAACACGUGAGUAACCUGCCUUGUACUGGGGGAUAACUUCAGGAAACUGUGGCUAAUACCGGAUAGGAGCUCCUGCUGCAUGGUGGUGGUUGGAAAGUUUCGGCGGUUGGGGAUGGACUCGCGGCUUAUUAGCUUGUUGGUGGGGUAGUGGCUUACCCAGGCUUAGACGGGUAGCCGGCCUGAGAGGGUGACCGGCCACAUUGGGCCUGAGGUACGGCCCAGAGUGCAACGGGAGGCAGCAGUGGGAAAUAUUGCACAAUGGGCGGAAGCCUGAUGCAACGACGUCGGGUGCGGGAUGACGGUCUUCGGGGUGGAAACCGCUUUCGCCUGUGACGAAGCGUGAGUGACGGUAAUGGGUAAAGAAGCACCGGCUAACUACGUG